rnacentral:other from 12 species
UUCACGCAGAAAGCGUCUAGCCAUGGCGUUAGUAUGAGUGUCGUACAGCCUCCAGGACCCCCCCUCCCGGGAGAGCCAUAGUGGUCUGCGGAACCGGUGAGUACACCGGAAUCGCUGGGGUGACCGGGUCCUCUCUUGGAAUAACCCGCUCAAUACCCAGAAAUUUGGGCGUGCCCCCGCGAGAUCACUAGCCGAGUAGUGUUGGGCCGCGAAAGGCCUUGUGGUACUGCCUGAUAGGGUGCUCGAGAGU